UCUCUCUUUCUCUCCUCUCCUUCGCGUUAUCUCUUUCUCUCCCACACAUACACACACACACACACACACCCCUCUCGGUUUAUCCACCCUCGGUGGCGGUCAGGGCGUCGUGACGAAAGCGUCGCAGUGGUUCGCGUAUCUCGCGGGAACAAAUGUGCACGGUGGACAGCAGUGUGACAUAGUGCGGCGAAGGCAGGAGACGAAGAGAUCGGCAGGAGGGCAGGAGAGCGAGGAACGCGGGAAGAGCGGGGCAGGAGGUGGAUGACGAUGAGGGGACACAGGAAGAGGGCGCCGAGCCCUGAUGAAUUCGCAUCUUCUACAUAGGGGGUACCGUCCGUCCGCCCCGAGGGGGACGCGCUUCGUCGAGCUUUCUCUGCGUGACACGCUCCGAUUCCAUGCCUCUCUCGGCCGCGGAAUCGUCUGAGAAUCCGGCCGCGCGCGCUCUCGAGCUGCCUUGGAACGGAACGGAACGGCGAUAUCGUGUCGAAUGUAUCGCGGGAGAGGGAGGGGCAGGGGGGCUCCGUCAGGAGGGUCGAAAUUUUUGCGGGCCGUGCGAAAUCCAUUUGCGAGUAAAUGCCCGCCGACCGACGGUCGGCGGGAUCGCUAUGCUUCGCCCCCGCCGCGGGGGUGAGUUUGCAGCGCACUAAAGGAGAGCGAGCGAAAGCGGGCGAGACAGUCUGAGACAGUCGAUCCGAGACGACGAUCGGCCCGCGUAAUCUGCUCUCUCAUCGAUUACUCCCUCGCACGCUCGGGAUGCUCCUGAGACUUAAUAUGUUUCUUAAUAUGAUGCAAAGUUACCCUCGCGAGAGGUAGCUUGAUUAAGAGCUAAAAGCUUGAAUAAGCGGGUAUAUCCUUGAACGAAUCUCGCCGUGAACUCGUGCAUGAAUGCGAUAGAGGAACCGGGGACGGGAAGGGGUGAGACAGCUGCGUAAAUAAACGGCUUCCCCGUGAUUCGCAUUAGAGUGGUUCCUCCACGGAGGAACGCGUUACGUCGGAUUAUUUUUCACAUUCACGAUUACGGUCGGCUUGUAACCAAUCGACGAUCGCGACGGCGCACAAUGAGCACGGCACGCUCUCGCAGCCGCUUUCUGACACGAGCCGUUAAUGACUUUGGGCUAACCGCGACUUCUGUCGUGCCGUACCUCUCGUAGUGUAAAAGUUGCAUUAGACCGAGGGAAGGUUAGACACGGCUCUAGAAUAGGCUACAACCCGCGGGCGUAAAUCAUGCAUCGGACGUGCAGCGAGGAGCGUAGGAAAAGUACGCUGUAGGCAACUUUUGCGCGCGUCGCAAAUGUCGUUAUCUUGAAUUAAAAGUCGGGGGAUCGGACGUUCUUACGAGCGCGCUGCGGCGAGGAAGCACGGUGUUGGUAACGAACACGCGGACGAAUUCGCCAGGAUAAAUUCGCCAAGUUAAACGGCAAUAACUGGACCGCUACAGCGCCACGAAAAUAUUAAUAUCGCGCAAAUGGCCGCGAGUUAAUUAUUGUGACCAUAAACGGCACAAAGUGGGGAGGGGAGGGGGAGGGGGCAACAUUGUUCUAUAAAUAUCAAAAGUGCCAGCGGCAAUUCGUCAUUUCAAUCGCGUGAUUUUUAACCCGGAGACAGACCUGUAACCUGUGUGUCGUCGUUGUCGAGUGCGAAACAGCGCUUCAUUGUCCGCUUUUUCUCAAAUUCCGAAACGAGCGAUUGAUCCCACUUUAACGAUACGCAUUGUUGGCGACGAAAGUAUCAAGUGCGCAGAUGAACGCUUAUUUUCGAGCUGUAGCGCGAGGGACGCGCGACAUAAAGUCUGUAAUCUCUCCGAUUAAACGACUCCACGUGAACUCGCAUAAGCUUGCUUAAAGCUCGGCAUAAGUUUUAUCUUUAUCGACUCUCGCGCGACGUAUACGCGUUUGCACACACACACACACACACACACAUACACACACAAAUACACGAGCGACGACAGCAGUCUAUACCAAUAAAAUACAAUAAUAUAAAGCAGCAUUGCGCUCAUCUUGAAGCACUGAUCAAUCUUGACAAUGUCCGCCGCGUUUCGUUUCGCUUCGAGUCCGUCGCGACAAAUCCGACGGAAAAUUCCGCCGCAUGAAUGAAAUCCCUCUUUGGCGAGCGGGCGACUUAAUGAGCGAUUUCACUCCGACAUUAAAGGCCGCCGUGGAUGUGUCAAUGAGAGCUCGGAUUUAGCCAGCCUGAUCCUCGUCACGGAUCCUCGUCUCGGCGCGAGCACAAAAGUUACGCGAAAUUUAAUAAUAGGGGCGCAAUCGGCGAUAUUCACGAGGGUCGCAAAGUAGCAGUCGUCCGUUCGUUCGCUGCGCGAAUAUGACGAAGAUCGAUUCCUACAGUCAGAAGUUCCGAAUGGCUAUUGUUCCCCUUUCGUUCAUCUGUAACGAGAAUCGAACGGUUGCGUUGUUGCGCCGAAAGCCGACGGCGUCGUCGUGGAGCAAUCGGAAGCGCAUAGACGAAACGUAAUUGCUGCACAUGUUGCUUCCCGCAAUAACCUUUACAGCCGAGUCGAGACGCUCGGCUUUUUUUUCGAAACUGCACGCUUAUUCCCAAACGGAUAAACAAGGCAACCUACCUCGCGGCGGUUGAGUCAAACAUCAAUCGGGAACCUCUCAUUAGAAUCCCUUUCAUUAUGAAUCUCCAAUCACCAGCAGGCUAUCCGGUCGAAUCUACCGGCAACGAAGGAGCACAAGAGAAUCAGAAUGAAAUAUCACGCGACUAAUUAAUCUCCGGCUGGUGAAUGCGACGAAAGAAGAAAAAAAGAACGUUACGUUCGCACGCAUCGCGCCGACAAUAUUGAUUUUAGCUGCCCCCCCCUCCCCCUCCUGUCAUUUGUUUCGUGCACGUGUGCGCCUAGUUUGUCUAGCCGCGAAGUAGGCACUGAGCAACACCGUGUACGUAUACACACACACACACAGACAUACAUAUAUAAUACAUGGACAUGAUAAAAACUCGCGUUCUUUCAUUGUACGGCCGAAUGCACAGCCGCAAAGGAAAAAUGGCUAAUCGAUGCGCGGCGUACGUCGCUUAAGGGCGAUCAAGAUAAAUGGCUCUCGCUGCACAAUGCUUACAAAGACGCGUCGUAUCUGGCUGGAGAUUCUCCAGCGCAUAUUAUCCCCCGGGAGCCCCCGUGACAGGAGUCACCUCACGGGGGAGGGGGGGAGUCACCCCGUGACUUUCCGCGGAGUCUUUGCUGGCGAGCGCCCACGCACAAACACACACACACACACACACACACACAUACACACAAAGAAAGCUCGCGACACUCCGCGGAUCUCUCCGCCGCGGCAAGAAACGCGGAGACAAACACUCGAGAAUUGCCUGAUCGCAGAUCGUUCCGUCUCUUCGACGUCCGACGUGACGACGAGCAGCGAGCACGCCGAGGACGACGACGACGACGACGACGACAACGACGGCGGCGACGACCACGACGUCGCUCGGGAGCCUCCGCGAAACCAGCACUGCCGUUUGUUCUCCGAGAUGGCGGACGAAAAGGAGAAGCAGACGUUCAUGGAGAAGCUGCUGUUCUACACGACCGCGUUCUUCAUCCUCCUCAGCACCUUCAGCCUCUUCGCCUUCCUCUUCUUGGUCCCCUUCGUUAUCGACCCCGCCUUCACCACCAUCUUCAUGCAGUUUGACACUCGACCCGCCGAGUGCGUCACCAUCGACGUUGAGUCCAGAAGAGGUACGAGCAAUUGCUCAUGGACGUCCUGUAGAGAGGGUUGUACUAAGGAGCUGUACGAUUGCACGCAAAUACGCGUCAACUAUAAGCUACCCGGUAACGUGUCCGAAGGGUCGGAUGAGGGAGGUGGAGCGGUAGGAGGUGUCGAGGAUGACGAAGAGAGCAAGAGGAUGCCGCGUUACGAGCGUUCCUUAGGGAACUUCGGCGAGUACGUCGACGGCCUCGAGGAGGAGUUCGACGAGGAAGACGAGACCGGACUGCCGAAACCUUUCCCUACAGUUCGCAGGUCUCAUGGGCAACGACUCCGUGUGGUACUUCACCGGGGCCAAGCUGUUCCCCAACGUAAAAGGCUGUGGAUACCCUCCAAUGCUGAAUUGCAGUAUUUUCUACCGGCAGUACGCCAACAUAGGGAAGAACUUUAGCUGUUACUACUCGAAAGUGGACCCCGGGAUAGUCAUCAGCGACCUCGACAUGUGGCAGGUGUACAUGAACCUUGUGUACGCGAUGGCGAUUCCGAUACCGUCUUUCAUAAUCUCGGUGAUAUACCUCACUAUCGCCUACUUCAAGAUCUACAACGAAGACGAGGAGGUCCCUGUAGGCAUGAAGGACGGCGAGAACGGGCUGGAAGGGACCGAGGAGAAUGGCACACCCUUGCCACCUACG
rnacentral:misc_RNA from 1 species